GGUCAAGCAAUGAAGGGCAUAAGGCGGAUGCCUUGGCACUGGGAGCCGAAGAAGGACGCGACAAGCUGCGAUAAUCCGCGGGGAGGGGCAAAUGCCCGGCGAUCCGCGGGUCUCCGAAUGAGGGAACUCGCCUGCGGCAACGCGCAGGCGCCGCGGGCCGAACAGAAUAGGCCCGCAGGAGGCAACCCGGGGAACUGAAACAUCUAAGUACCCGGAGGAAAGGAAAGAAAAAUCGAUUCCCCGAGUAGCGGCGAGCGAAAGGGGAGGAGCCCAAACCGAGCCCGAUGGGCGAGGGGUUGAGGGCCGCCAAUGGAAAGCCACGCGCGGGCAUAGCCGAACAGGCCUGGAAAGGCCGGCCGCAGGGGGUAACGGCCCCGUAGGCGAAAUGCGCGGCGCGGGCAGGGCGGCGCCAGAGUACCGCAGGGCACGUGAAACCCGGCGGGAAGCAGGGGGGACCACCCCCCAAGGCUAAACACUACCCAGUGACCGAUAGAGAACAGUACCGUGAGGGAAAGGUGAAAAGAACCCCGGGAGGGGAGUGAAACAGAACCUGAAACCUUAUGCCUACAAGCAAAGGGAGCGAGAGUGACCUUGUACUUUUUGUAGAACGGGCCAACGAGUCGCGCUGCGCGGCAAGGUUAAGGCGCUGGAGCGCCGGAGCCGGAGCGAAAGCGAGCCUCAAAAGGGCGUGCGAGUCGCGCGGCGCGGACCCGAAACCGGGUGACCUACCCAUGCGCAGGCCGAAGCGGGAGUAAAGUCCCGUGGAGGGCCGCACCCAUGUCUGUUGAAAAAGGCUGGGAUGACGUGUGGGUAGCGGUGAAAUUCCAAUCGAACCCGGAUAUAGCUGGUUCUCCCCGAAAUAGCUUUGGGGCUAGCCUCGAGCAGAGAAUCCCGGAGGUAGGGCGCUGAAUGUUCUAGGGGCCUUCACCGGUUACCGAAAACUAUCAAACCGCGAAUGCCGGGAUGUCUUGCGCGGGAGUCAGACCGCGGGAGAUAAGUUCCGCGGUCGAGAGGGAAACAGCCCAGACCAACAGCCAAGGCCCCAAAAUGCAGGUUAAGUGGGAAAGGAAGUGGGGACGCGAAGACAGCCAGGAUGUUGGCUCAGAAGCAGCCACGCAUUCAAAGAGUGCGUAACAGCUCACUGGCCGAGUGUCCCCGCGCCGAAGAUGAACGGGGCUCAAACCUGCUGCCGAAGCUUUGGGGCGGCGCAUGCGCGCCGCCGGUAGGGGAGCGUCGCAUGGGGGGCGAAGGCGGGCCGUGAGGCCGGCUGGACCCCAUGCGAGGGAGAAUGUUGGCAUGAGUAGCGCAAGGCAGGUGGGAAUCCUGCCCGCCGAAUAUCCAAGGUUUCCUGAGGAAGGUUCGUCCUCUCAGGGUCAGUCGGGGCCUAAGCCGAGGGCGAGAGCCGUAGGCGAUGGACAACAGGCUGAGAUUCCUGUACCGCCGAAAGCCGUCAGAGCGAAGCGGGGACACAGAAGGACAGGCAGAGCGCGCCGCUGGUAGAGCGCGUCCAAGCGCCGAGCGGGGGGGGGCAGGCAAAUCCGCCCCCCCAUCAAACCGCAAGACGCGACGGGGAGGGAAAUCAAGUACCGAAGCUGCCGCGUUCACGCUGUCGAGAAAAGCCGCUAGCGAGGCCGUAGGCGCCCGUACCGCAGACCGACACAGGUGGAUGAGGAGAGGAUCCUAAGGCGAGCGAGAGAACUAUUGUUAAGGAACUCGGCAAAAUGACCCCGUAACUUCGGGAGAAGGGGCGCCACGCAAGCGUGGCCGCAGUGAAAUGGCCCAGGCGACUGUUUACCAAAAACACAGGUCUCUGCGAAAGCGAAAGCUGACAUAUAGGGGCUGACGCCUGCCCGGUGCCGGAAGGUUAAGGGGAAGUGUGAGCUGCGUUACCGAGCGCAUGAACAUAGAUGUUCGAAGAAAAGGCCAAUCGGAAGCGAUAGGCAAGAAAGGACGAAUUCAUGUGUUGGGUAACGCAGCGAAGCACAGAACUUAAGCCCCGGUAAACGGCGGCCGUAACUAUAACGGUCCUAAGGUAGCGAAAUUCCUUGUCGGGUAAGUUCCGACCCGCACGAAAGGCGUAACGAUCUGGGC
rnacentral:rRNA from 1 species